GACGAACCGUGCGAACGUUGUUCGGAAUCACUGGGCUUAAAGGGCGCGUAGGCGGGUCCGCAGGUCCGGGGUGAAAGCCCCCGGCUCAACUGGGGAGGGUCAUUCGAUACUGUUCGACUCGAAGGCAGGAGAGGGAAGUGGAAUUCCGGGUGUAGUGGUGAAAUGCGUAGAUAUCAGGAGGAACACCAAUGGCGAAGGCAGCACUCUGGGACGUGACUGACGCUGAGACGCGAAAGCGUGGGGAGCAAACAGG
rnacentral:rRNA from 1 species